GGGCCCACUUCAGCAGCACAUAUACUAUCAUUGGAAAUGAGACAGAGAAGAUUGGUAUGGUCUUUGUGCAAGGAUGACACGCAUAUUCAUGAAAUGUUCCACUUUGGG